CUCAAGUUUGCAUUCGCUUUGCAUUCCAUUCGUGCCUUUUGUACAAAUGGAAUGCAAAGCGAAUGCAAACUGAG
rnacentral:pre_miRNA from 1 species